rnacentral:lncRNA from 1 species
GGCAGAGAGAGAGAAGAGAAAAAGAAAAGCAGAGGAUUCCGAAAACCUAGCUAAUCCUACUCGAAAACCCUAAUUAAUGAAGAUCGUGAUCGAAAUGUUACAAGCAAGCCGAUCGGGGAGGAUUCAGUUGAACAGACAUACCGGCGGGAGGAUCUGGUUGUUUAGCAUUCUCAUCCGCCAUUAGAGAGAGGAAAGCUCGAACAAUCUCUGGCGCAAGAAUGUGUUGCAGAGGUGAGUGAGAGAAGAGCGUGAAGAUUUUGGGGAAGAAGCGAG